UCUGUAUUUGAUGUGGUUUGAAACAAGGUCUCAGAUAUGGAAAGCGUGAUGGAGGGUCUCCAGGAACACGCGGCAGCUGUGUUCAAAACACACCCUUCGUGGUCAAGUUCUGCCACUCUGGCUCAUGCCUCAGGACAGCAGGGCUACGAUCACAUCUGGAACGAGAUCUAUGCCUGCACUGAGCUUCACCAGUGAGUGUGCCUGGGGAUCCUUAACUACUUCUGGUCCGUGGAGAGAAGCUUGACCAUCAGUACCACCGGCCUCUCCUUCAAGGCUGGUCGCCUAAUUCCCAGUGUAGGAGACACCUCCUGGGUCAGUGCUGCCAAAGGAGGCACUGGUGACUUUGGUGGCCUGAGUUCACAGCCAUAUAUGCACUACACGCCAGCUGACUACAAGGUCCACAGCGCUCAGUUCAUGGAAUUUGCAGAGAUGGAAAACCAUGAUGAUUUUCACACUAGCAAAAAUGGAUACAUUCAUACACAGGACCAGCGAGAGCUUUACAUAAUAUAUGAUGUUGCUUUAGAGGACCUGAAAGAGCUUGAGAACCAGCAGCUGCUUGUGGCCAGCCAGUACAUUGAAAAAGAUAAAGGUAGAGAUAUUUACAGGUCCCAAAGACCUGUGAUAAUUUGGUUUGCUGUUUUCAGGGUAGGCUGAUCCUAUGAUGUCUUGAACGUUUCUGUACUUCUGCAAGACCAAGUACUGACUGGAAUUUUGGGACCUUUCUUUAUCCUCCUACUUAGCUAAGUGGUGAAUGUGUUACAAAGAUGUAACUGAACACGUGGAAUUUCUUGUCACAUGUUGUUAAUGUUGCAGUUUUGCACUUAUUCAGGGUCAUAGACAUCAAAGUAAUCCUGGAGGGGAAAGAAGUAAUAUAAUGAAAAAGCACAUCUUCAAGGCACACAGAGGAGUCAGAAAAGAAGAAUGUUAAUUGUUUCCAAAUGUCUUUUAAUUAACAUAUUGGUUUGCUUUUCUACAGAACUAAAUUUACCCCCACCACUUUUAAACUUUUCUCAGUUGUAAAGAAGCUGUAAAAUAUCUGAUGUUCUAGACUUCCUUUUUUCCUGCUGCUUUUUGGGUUUUUUUUUGUAGUAAUAACUGGGUUGAGGCAGACUGUAUUACAAAUUUCUAAAAAGAGCAGCUGUAGUGAGUAGUGAGGAGGAAGAAGCUUGUACCUGUAGAAAGUGUGUGGGGAGGGCCAUUAGAAAACAGUGAAUAAAUGACACAAAGAUGUAUGAUAUUCAGAGAAUUGCACAAAAUAUAUCUUAAAAAACUGGAAUUACUUUCUGUAUUGAUAGAAUAAUGUUUCUGAAGUUUUAGUAUGCUUCCCUGAAUUUGAAUGUUCUGACAGAGAAUGCAGGGCAGAGCUGAGGAUCAAGAUGACCAAAAACCUUUACAAACCUGUGAAUGCCUAAAUGCCUGCUAGGACCUCCUUUGAAGUCACCUGAAGGUCCUCAUUGUGGAGGUUUUUCUGAAUCAUCUUUCAUGUAAGGAGAAGCUGAGAGAGCUGGGACAGUUCUGGCUGGAGAAGGCUCAGGAUUAAUCACUGAUCAGUGUGUAUAAAUACCUGGUGGGAGGGGACAAAGAAGAGGGAGCCAGACUCUUCUCAGUGGUCCCCACUGACAGGACCAGAGGCAAUGGGCACAAAGCAAAACACAUGAAAUUCCAUCUGAGCAGAAGAAAACACAUUUUUACCAUAAGGGUGGUCAAACACUGGCACAGGUUGCCCAGAGAGGUUGUGGAGGUCUUCAUCUGUGGGGAUAUCCAAAACCUGACUGGACAUAGUCCUGGGCAACCCACCCUAGGUGAUCCUGUUUGGGAGCAGGGGGUUGGGCUGGAUGACCUCCAGAGGUCCCUUUCAACCUCAACCAUUCUGUGAUUCUGUCAUGACAGUAGGCAGACUACUGAUGAGGUAUGGUACUCUGGUAGGCUGGUAUAGCAGUUCCUGUGUUUAUGUGUCUCUUCGUUAUCACCCCCCCACAGUGCACUUGAGGACUGAUCCUGAACUACCACUCCUAGCUCCUUAUGCUUCUUCCUGAUACGGUUUCUUUCUGUGUGCCAUGGACACAAAUGCUUUUAAUGUUGACUUCUUCAGUGAUCAUGGACUUCAAAAGACUCUCUUGUUUAGCUUUUGAAAAAUAAGACAUUCAAAGUCUGGAGCUGAAGAGUAGCUGCUGAAGCCUCUUCUAUUUACUCCAUGGCUAAUUUUUAGCUCUGCAGUUCUAAACAUUUCAGAGUCACUCUACUUGAUUUAUCAUUUAUUGUCAAAAUUAGCUCUAAUUUAGAUAGCAUUACAGCCAAGAAACCAAAAGCAUGAUUUCUUUAAGGAUUUCUAGUAAGCUGCUACUAUAGGAACAUUUGUAGUGAUUGUUUUUCCUUCCUUCACAGUCUUUUUUAAAUCAUGAAGACUGACUUCUCCAGUAGCAAGCCAUCUGAGAAGAAAGCCCUCCCCUGGGUCUGCACUCUGCCCUGCUAUAUCUCUCUGUAAAAUUUAUCUUUGAGUAGUCUGUGCCACUUUGAUCUGAUCUGAAAGUGAAGGUGAGGAGGUGAAGGUGACCCCAACAUGCUUUGGUGCUGUGAAAAAUUAAGCUUCUCUUCACUUUCCUCCCCAAGUUUUCUUGUGCUUUCCCUGGCUUUACCUCUUGAUGUGGGUCUUUUGAACUCCAGCCACUGCCCUUUUUCUCAAGGAAUAUUUGGUAGAAGAUGAUGGAAGAGAUGUUUAAACCAAAUGCCUGGUGCACUUGUUCUUUGCCUUGCAGAACACUCUGGGGCCCUCCAAAGCUUAUGGAACUUGAAAUAUUUUCCUGGCCUGAGGUUCCCUGGCAAGCAAAACUCACAAACCUGUGCUAUAAAUAAAAAGAAUUAUCACAAGCCCUGGGACUCUAGGCGUGUAGAAAUCCCUCUGAUACUGUCAUAUGCUUGUUUUCUCCUUUUUUUUUUUCUUUUGUCUUAGGCAAUGUAACUUGUGUGCAAUCCAGUGGCAGCAACAACCUUGGCUGGGCACAUGCCUCUGUGGAUUAGUGUGCUGUGCUGCUUGACCUCUGGGCCUGUGAAACUGCUCUCUUAGAAAAAAAAUGCCAGGUACCGAAGCUUUUCUUGGUCUGAAAACAGUGAUAUGCAAUCAGUUCACUUCAGGCUGUGUAAGGUUCCCUUUCAACAGCAUCUCCCAUUGUAUAGACAGGGAUGCCAGAGCCAGCAACUGUGGGUGGGGUGGCAGGGGUCUCAGAUGCAUUGGGAACCUGCUGCUGGGCUGGGUGCAGAGGGCUGGAGCUCCUGGGUGCUGUGAGUUGGGUCUAAAGGACCACAUGUAAUGGCUUUUAUGACAUGAGAGCAGAAAUACUUUUGUUGUCAGAUGGCAGCCUCUGUAGCUGCUGUGCCAGGGGCUGGAAGCACGGCCUUAGGGAGAGUCACCCACCACUGGAUAACUGGGAAUGAUAAUUGGGAAGGACAAGGCCAUCUCCAGAGCAAAACUGCAGAGCAUGUUUUGUCCCUCCUUGUGUGCCAGGGAAUGGAGCAAAUGCAGACUAGGGAAGAACCAGGUCCGGCCCUGAGGAGCCUGGGCCAGUAGGAAGCCCAAGGUGCAAAUUUCUUCUGUGGUCCUGGCUGUCCCUGCUUUCUGGGGCUGGUGCAGGAAACUUUUUGUGGCCAUCAUUAGAACUGUUGUCAUUGCAUCUUUGUGAAGCCCAGGGAGGAGAGACUUAGUCUGCAGCUGGCUAAGCCCAUCAUUUGGGUUACCCUUUGUCAGAGGCAACCAGAGAGAUAUUUUUGUUUGUUACAACAUAAAACCACAAUCCAUUUAUUAAUAAAAACUAUAUAUAUGAGUCUAUAUAUAUAUUAUAAAUUAAUUUCUUCUUUGUUAGUUAAUCUCUAUGAGAAAAAAAUGCCAUGAUUUAGUAUGGAGUUUAAAAAACCAAAAAACAAACCAACAGUAAAAACGUAUAUUAAGUGAUUUGUAGCUUUGCCAUUUACAAGGGCUGCUGCAUAUCCUGCGGGCUUUCCCCUUCCUCUCUGUGAAUCUAGUCAUGUGUCUGUAUUUUGCUAUGGGACAUGAAAGCACACGGGGUUUCUGCACGAAAUCUUCAGUCUUGAAAGAUGAAGAGUAGACAAGUUCAGAGGAAGGGACCCAGAGCAGCUUGGAAGCGUAUUUCUGUCUAUGGGACUCACUGGUCCCAAGGACAGUCUGUGAGUGUCAGGAAGCAGAAAGGAGCAGAGAGUCUACUUCAGAAGCAGUGAGAAAUGGCGCUUAUUGAGGUCGCCUUUACACACUUGAAAAGUUUUGUUCUCAGUCCUGGAGUAACCCAGGGCAGCUCUCAAAACAGAAAUGCUAGAGGGUGUUAGGGAAUCUCCUGUGUACCACUGAAGAGGCUUUAAGCAGAAAACCUUUUAAACUAAAAUGGUUGUAUGUAGUUUAGGCAAUCUCCUGAGGCCACUCUCCCAUUUUCAGAGAGGAGCUUUGUGUUACAAAGCUAUAUAAAAUACUGUCUAAUUGCCUAGUUCACUAAGUUUCUUUGCUUUCCAUUGCUGUAUGAUCUGUGAAUUUACAUUUUCUUUUUAUCAUGAACCUCUGUAUAAGGAAAUCUGCUUUCUUUUUGGAAGAAAAACUCCCAGUAGAGAAGAACGAAACCUCUACAGCAACAAUACACUACUUCUCUUCCAAAACCUUCAAAGAGUAUAUUCUGGAACUGCUGUCAUAACCCAACUCUCUAGGCAGGAUUAAAUGUACAGAUGUGCUGUUGCUGGAGGUCUUUAGCUUUUACAUGAAAUGAAAUGGAAGUGGGUCUCUAGCUUUGUUUCCAGCUGGGACAGAGUUCUUUCUGAAUGAGAAAACAAGAACCCUUUGUCCAGCAGCUGAGACAGUUUAGCUCAGCCAAUAUAAAACUUGCUUAUGGCCUACUGCAGUGUCUUAGCUUCAUCCAGAAUAGUCAGGUCAGGCAGGCCUACAUCAGAAAACUUAUCAUAUAAUCAUAGAAUGAUAGAAUGUCCUGAGUUGGAAGGGACCCACAAGGAUCACCAAGUCCAACUCCUGUCCCUGCACAGGACAGCCCCAAAUUCACACCAUGUCUCUGAGUGCAUUGUCCAAGUGGUUCUUGAAUAGCGUCAGGCUCGGUGCUGUGACUGCCUCCCUGGGGAGCCUGUUCCAGUGCUCCACCGCCCUCUGGGUGAAGAACCUUUUCCUAAUAUCCUGCCUAAACCUCCCAUGGCACAUAUUCCUGCCAUUCCCUCCGGUCCUGUC